CUGCCCUUCCUACUGACUGACCUGAAAACAGUCUAAAAGAAGAAUUGUUGGCAGACAGACACUGACUGUCGAUGGGAUUUCUCUAUGAGUGAUGACUUUUAAUCAAGCACAGAGAGUCAACUUGACAUGGGACCAAAUGGACUACAAAUGUGGACACCACAAUUCUUCCAAGUGUGUUUGGGACUGCUCUGGUUGCUUGUUUAACCCUUCAGUACUUGACUGAAUUCAUUCUGAAUGUGGGCAGUACUCAAAGGUAAUAACAACUACUGUAGGAAUCAAAGUCAUGAAUACAAAACUGAGAGGGCAGGAAAAUUACAAAGUUCAUUCUGUUGGACAAAAAGCUGAAAGAUGAUGACCAUCACAGCUACAACCAGUACUCAGAUGAGGGACAGAACAAGAGGAGGCAAUAAGCCCGGUACACCACAGAACUGUACAGAACUAUGGGUUCUUCACAGAUUUGCAGCUUUGAUUCAUGGAGGGAUCACACACAGUUCGGAUCUCAUUUUAAGAAAUGGAGUCUUUUUAUUUUCUGUGGAAGCAACUAAAGAAGAUUCAUCAACACAUAUCGGACAUCCUUUUUACACAGCCAUGUCUUUACAAUCAGAGUGAAACAACAGUAAAGGAUAAUUUCAGGACAGGAACCAGGACCCAGCUGUUGCCGGUGCGGGAUUGGACCACACCACUGCCACCAGGGCCAACAGGACCAACGAGGAUGGCGGAGAACAUCUGGCAGAGCGUCAGCCUGGGCACCCAACGCAGACCUGGAGAAACCGGCUGGUUGAGGUUCUGCUGCGUAGUACAGCUAACGGCCUCUGUACCUUAGUGUUUGACGCUCUGAAGCCAUGGAUGGUUGAGGCCCUGCAACCUUGGAUGCCUGAGGCUCUGGGGCCCCGGGCAGCUGAGAUGAUUGUGGAUCAUGUGCUCUCAUUGGCUAAGGUUCAGGUGGACCUGAUGGCUGAGACUGUAGCCCGUUGGGCUGCUGAUAGAGUCUGACAUUGGGAGCCAUGACAACCACAUCAGGCAAGUACAUUUAAGUUCAUUAAAGGCUCAAAGGUUAUGAGGCAACAGGGUAGCCGGAGCACAACAGGCAGGAGAGGCAGGUAGCAGAAUAGCUAGCAGUACAAGCAGGCUCACAAACCCAAUGCUGAUUGGUCACAUGGCAAACAAACCAAUAGCAGGGAAGAGGCUAGCAGGCUGAGGUUCAGACUGGACACUUCUGAACUAAAACUGUACGAACACAAGUCAUAUAGAAUUGAAUUAAAUCAAUAAAUAAACAUCCUCAACAUUAUUUUGACCCUUAUGUAAAUAUACUGUGUAAUGUAAUCAAUGCAGUUUACAUAAACCAAUGGAAUGUGAAAUCAACAAUGUGUUUGAAAGCUGCAAAGCUUAAAAUGAUUAAAUAUUCUACAAAUACAUCUGUUUGUAAUAAGUCUGCUUUUCUCAGGUCAGUUAUAUUACAUAUACAGAGAACCCUACAUUAACUGUCUCUCUCCUUGUACACAGGUGGAGUACACCUGGAUGAAGACCCAUAAUGUCCAUUUAGAAUGCAAAAUGAAUUGUAAUUCAAGAUGAAUUAUAAUAGAAAUAAAUGCAUUUUGAAUUUUC